UACGUAGGGUGCAAGCGUUGUCCGGAAUUAUUGGGCGUAAAGAGCUCGUAGGCGGUGUGUCGCGUCGGCCGUGAAAACCUGCAGCUUAACUGUGGGCGUGCGGUCGAUACGGGCAUCACUGGAGUUCGGCAGGGGAGACUGGAAUUCCUGGUGUAGCGGUGAAAUGCGCAGAUAUCAGGAAGAACACCCGUGGCGAAGGCGGUUCUCUGGGACGGUACUGACGCUGAGACGCGAAAGCGUGGGGAGCGAACAGG
rnacentral:rRNA from 1 species